rnacentral:rRNA from 1 species
AUGAAACACUCCUACGGGAGGCAGCAGUGAGGAAUAUUGGUCAAUGGACGUAAGUCUGAACCAGCCAAGUAGCGUGCAGGAUUGACGGCCCUAUGGGUUGUAAACUGCUUUUGUUGGGGAGUAAAGUGAGGCACGCGUGCCUUUUUGCAUUUACCCUUCGAAUAAGGACCGGCUAAUUCCGUGCCAGCAGCCGCGGUAAUACGGAAGGUCCAGGCGUUAUCCGGAUUUAUUGGGUUUAAAGGGAGUGUAGGCGGUCUGUUAAGCGUGUUGUGAAAUUUAGGUGCUCAACAUCUACCUUGCAGCGCGAACUGGCGGACUUGAGUGCACGCAACGUAUGCGGAAUUCAUGGUGUAGCGGUGAAAUGCUUAGAUAUCAUGACGAACUCCGAUUGCGAAGGCAGCGUACGGGAGUGUUACUGACGCUUAAGCUCGAAGGUGCGGGUAUCGAACAGGAUUAGAAACCCUUGUAGUCCGAAGUUC